rnacentral:tRNA from 1 species
GGCUGUAGCUCAGCUGGGAGAGCGCCUGGAUCGCACCCAGGAGGUCAGGGGUUCGAGCCCCCUCAGCU